AGGUGCUUGCUCCUCUGAGGCUUAGCGGCGGACGGGUGAGUAACACGUAGGCAACCUGCCUGUAAGACUGGGAUAACCCACGGAAACGUGAGCUAAUACCAGAUAGAAAAGACCUUCGCAUGGAGGACUUGAGAAAGACGGAGCAAUCUGUCACUUACAGAUGGGCCUGCGGCGCAUUAGCUAGUUGGUGAGGUAACGGCUCACCAAGGCGACGAUGCGUAGCCGACCUGAGAGGGUGAUCGGCCACACUGGGACUGAGACACGGCCCAGACUCCUACGGGAGGCAGCAGUAGGGAAUCUUCCGCAAUGGACGAAAGUCUGACGGAGCAACGCCGCGUGAGUGAUGAAGGUUUUCGGAUCGUAAAGCUCUGUUGCCAGGGAAGAACGCCUGAUGGAGUAACUGUCAUCAGGGUGACGGUACCUGAGAAGAAAGCCCCGGCUAACUACGUGCCAGCAGCCGCGGUAAUACGUAGGGGGCAAGCGUUGUCCGGAAUUAUUGGGCGUAAAGCGCG
rnacentral:rRNA from 1 species